rnacentral:sRNA from 1 species
UACAAAAAUACAAGUAGAUAGAGGCAAUUAUCUAUGAUUCUAGAUUUUGGAAGAUGUUUGACCAAUAGUUAUUGUUACUCUUGGUAUUUGCAGUUUUUUAGAAGAAAAUAUUUUUCCACAUAGAUUCUGUUAAUAUAUAGAUUUUCAAAGCGAUGUAUAUCAAUGUUCAAAUAUCUACCAAACAGAAGAGAUGUAUUAUUAAGAUUCACAUUUAACGGUAAAUCAUCAAGCCAGUGUUUAAUUCUGUCCUAAAUGUUUUUUGAUGUGGUAGCAUUUAGAAAAAAAAUGGUCUAUUGUUUCUGUUUACUGUCCACAGAAAGAACAUGAAGCAGAGUUGAUUAAAUUGGAAUUACAUUGUUGCAGAAAUUCUGUGAAAUAACUUGGUUGGAAGCCAUUGUAACCUAGUUCCUUGAAUACAUGUUAACGGAAAAUUAUAAAUAAGGUUCCAUUCUUUUCUUGUAAAGUAGUAUCCCUUUUCUUCCCAUUAUUUUAAAAUGUGAGCAACUCUUUCUUUUUUAGAUGAAUGCAUUAUGCAUUUCCUUACAGCCCUUGUUUGAGUUCAUUAAAAUUAUUACUGUAUUUGGGUAUCUUAGAUUAUAAUCCUUGCCUAUAUAUCUUCAUUCUUCUUUUGAUAACUUCUGGUUGCUGAAAUAUGACCUUAAUAUUGAAGAACAUUUAAUUUUGCAGUGUAAAAAGUGUUAAAAUCGUAAAAAGGAAGGUAACUACCAUCUGCAUUAAAUAUGUCACUAAUGUAUCUUAUUUUAAUAAAAGCGGAAUCUUACGUCGCCUAGAUUGAAGUGUUCAGAUUAUGAUCCCCAAAAUUAGGAUUUAGCCACAUUUUGUUUUGUUUUGUUUGUUUGUUUGUUUGUUUUUUUGUUUGUUUGUUUGUCUGUUUGGUUUUUUUUUUUUGGGGGGGGGGAAUAUUGACAUUUGAAAAAAAAUAUUUAAUAAAAGGCAAAGUCUUC